UACGUAGGGCGCAAGCGUUAUCCGGAAUUAUUGGGCGUAAAGAGCUCGUAGGUGGUUUGUCGCGUUGUCCGUGAAAACUCACAACUCAAUUGUGGGCGUGCGGGCGAUACGGGCAGACUGGAGUACUGCAGGGGAGACUGGAAUUCCUGGUGUAGCGGUGGAAUGCGCAGAUAUCAGGAGGAACACCGGUGGCGAAGGCGGGUCUCUGGGCAUUACCUGACGCUGAGGAGCGAAAGUGUGGGGAGCGAACAGG
rnacentral:rRNA from 1 species